rnacentral:rRNA from 1 species
CUCGAAUUCAGGGGAGCUAUUUUUGUAUAUAUGCUAUUGUAAAAUAACUAUUUAAAAUACAGGAAUUGUAAUGAAACGUUAAUCGUCUCUGAAUAUAUCUAGUUUUUUAAGAAAAAAAUUUAAUUUGUUUAGUACUCAGUAAUUAAUUUAAUUUUUAAUUUGUUAUUUGUGCUAGGUUAUGUCUUAAGGGAUGAGCUUUGAUACAAAUUUUUAUAAGUGAACCAAUUUUUCUUAGUGUUUAGGAUUAGAAGUUUUCACAACUGAAAGGAUGUUAUAAUCGGCUUAGAUUGGGAAAUUAUUUUUAUCUGCUUUAAUUUUUUAUUAAAAUUUGAGUAUAAAUUAAAAAUGCUCAGCGAUAAUGAUAAUAUUAGUAAAUUUAAUUGUAAUUUAAACUACCUAGGUUAGGUUAGGUAAAGGAAUUCGGCAAAAAAAUUUUUCACCUGUUUAAUAAAAACAUGGCCUUUUGAGUAUGAUUUAAGGUCUAGCCUGCCCACUGAGUCGUUAAAGGGCCGCGGUAUCUUGACCGUGCUAAGGUAGCAUAAUCACUAGUUUUUUAAUUGAAAGCUUGUAUGAAUGGUUGGAUGAGAAAAUUACUGUCUCUGCCUAAUUUUAUAUUGAAUUUUAUUUUUAAGUAAAAAAGCUUAAAUUUGAUUAAAAGACGAGAAGACCCCAUAGAGUUUUAUAACAAAAAUUAAUUUAGCUUUAUUUAGAAUCUUAACGGCGGUUAAUUUUUUUUAUUUGGUUGGGGUGAUUGAAAAAUUAAAGUAACUUUUUCUUAAUUAUUACAUUGAUUUAUGAGUAGUUGAUCCAAUAGUUUUGAUUAUAAGAUAAAAUUACCUUGGGGAUAACAGCGUAAUUUUUCUUGAGAGUUCUAAUCGAAAGAAGAGAUUGCGACCUCGAUGUUGGAUUAAAAUUAAAUUCUGGUGCAGAAGCUAGAGAAUUUAGGUCUGUUCGACCUUAAAAAUUUUACAUGAUCUGAGUUUAAACCGGCGUGAGCCAGGUUGGUUUCUAUCUUUAAUAUAAGAAAUAUUCUAGUACGAGAGGACCGAGUAUU